UACGUAGGGGGCAAGCGUUGUCCGGAAUCAUUGGGCGUAAAGAGCGUGUAGGCGGCUCGGUAAGUCCGCUGUGAAAGUCCAGGGCUCAACCUCGAGAUGUCGGCGGAAACCAUCUGGCUAGAGUCCGGAAGAGGAGAGUGGAAUUCCUGGUGUAGCGGUGAAAUGCGCAGAUAUCGGGAAGAACACCCGUGGCGAAGGCGGCUCUCUGGGACGGUACUGACGCUGAGGCGCGAAAGCGUGGGGAGCAAACAGG
rnacentral:rRNA from 1 species